GUAAGGCCCUUCGGGGUACACGAGCGGCGAACGGGUGAGUAACACGUGAGCAACCUGCCCCUGACUCCGGGAUAAGCGGUGGAAACGCCGUCUAAUACCGGAUACGACCCGCCACCUCAUGGUGGAGGGUGGAAAGUUUUUCGGUCAGGGAUGGGCUCGCGGCCUAUCAGCUUGUUGGUGGGGUAACGGCCUACCAAGGCGAUUACGGGUAGCCGGCCUGAGAGGGCGACCGGCCACACUGGGACUGAGACACGGCCCAGACUCCUGCGGGAGGCAGCAGUGGGGAAUAUUGCGCAAUGGGCGAAAGCCUGACGCAGCGACGCCGCGUGGGGGAUGACGGCCUUCGGGUUGUAAACCUCUUUUACCACCAACGCAGGCUCGAAGUUCUCUUCGGGUUGACGGUAGGUGGGGAAUAAGGACCGGCUAACUACGUGCCAGCAGCCGCGGUAAUACGUAGGGUCCGAGCGUUGUCCGGAAUUAUUGGGCGUAAAGAGCUCGUAGGCGGCGUGUCGCGUCUGCUGUGAAAGACCGGGGCUUAACUCCGGUUCUGCAGUGGAUACGGGCAUGCUAGAGGUAGGUAGGGGAGACUGGAAUUCCUGGUGUAGCGGUGAAAUGCGCAGAUAUCAGGAGGAACACCGGUGGCGAAGGCGGGUCUCUGGGCCUUACCUGACGCUGAGGAGCGAAAGCAUGGGGAGCGAACAGGAUUAGAUACCCUGGUAG
rnacentral:rRNA from 1 species